CUAUUACCUUGAGACGCCAUUAAGUCGUGAGUGAUGAAAUGGAUGUUCUUCCGGAUCAGCCUGUGGUAGGACCUCUUCUUCUAAGGCAACUGAUAAAUGACACAGAUAGUGUCAAAGUCCUCUGUCGAUAGCUCGCACCUUGGAAGGGAACCUACGAAAGGAAACAUAACCGUUAAACACAAGCCGAACCGAACAGAAACAAAAAGAGCAACUACUAUUCUCACUAAGUGUUGAAAACUUCGUCGGGACUAUAAGAGGCGCCAGGGGGUCCCCCUCCAUUGUGUCCCAUCGCCCCGCUGCCCAGCACCAUGAACUCUUCCAUUCCUUGAUGGAGCUCGACAGAUCGAUCACGAAUGGAGUGUGGGAACCCCAUGACGUCAGGUAGUACCAACCCCGGGUUUUAUCCCCCCCAGCAGUAACCUUGGGUAUAUAGAGGGUCUGGAAAACGGAAAGGGGCAUCUCCACUCCUAACGACGCCUCUUUCCACAACAUCCAGGAGCCCACCAUCUGGCUCCAGGAGUUUGGAUUGAGCUGCGUCGGGGCUAGCCCGUAAGACCUAAGCACCAACCUAAAGAAUGGGUGGAUAGGCAGCAUAAGUCCGGUCUUAAGGAUCGCCUCACUAAUGGCCACACAGCCCGGCAUUGGGUAACAGGCUCUCUCUUCCGGCCCGGGGAGAAUCAAGUCUACACUGUCUGGGAUCCUAUGUUCUGUCCUAAGUCUACCCAGGUCGGCCUCCCUCAAUUUUGAUGGGUAGUCCGACGCCCCCCAAAGCACAGAAGUAUCCGGGGGGCUAUCUGGUCGCUUCCAUAUGUUCUCCCCCCCAUUAUUGCCCCAACUAUUUCUGAGGAGGUCGCCACAAUGGGCUCGUCCACCCUCACUAUUUCUAAGCCCCCCCAAACUAGAACUCCCUUCCGAGGCCAUUCGUUAAGAAAUUUUUUACAGUCCAAAUGGGUGCUGAAACUUAUGGGUUUGGAAGUUUUUCCUAGCCGAAAAUGGUGCAGGAUCGCCAGAAGUAUCGUCCUCUCUCGCCGGAGUUACUUGCAAAACGCCGAAAAUCGCCAGAAAUUUGAGAGCAAAUUUUGGUUUUCGUCUGGCAAAGAUAGAAACUCUGAUAAACCCCCAAAGUUCGCCUUUUAUAGGAAAGACAAGUCCAAUCUCCACCGUUGAAUUCAAAUACGAUCAAUCUAAACCGUUCGUCGCAUCCUCAAUCCCGGCCGUUAAAAUGAAACGCCAGAUUUGAUCUACGCCCAAGAUGUCGCUGUGACAUUCAUGCUAAAUUGAAACGCAUCACCUCGGUUGCAAACAGCCGUCAAUAAUAAUUACUAGCCGUAGCAGCCUUUUAGGAGAAUGGGCAUGGUACCCAACUGUCACCUUGGAAACACGCAACAGUUGUCAAAUCAUUGGACGUUUGGGUCGCCUCGGAUGAGCUUCUCCCCCAACUUCACAAAGCUUGGACGCACCCGACGUGAACGCCUCAUUGGCUCAUCGCCUCGGUCGCUGCGUUUCCUCCCAUGCUUUACAAAGUUUCAGCCAUCUCCCCCCGCGUCGACCUUUUCUUGUCAACGCAUCGGUGCGAAAUGAGCUCCCCCAACUUCACAAAGCUUGGACGCACCCGACGCGAACGCCCCAUUGGCUCAUCGCCUCGAUUGCUGCGUUUCCUCCCAUGCUUUACAAAGUCUCAGCCAUCUCCCCACGCGUCGACCUUUUCCUGUCAACGCAUCGGUGCGAAAUGAGUUCCUCCAACUUCACAAAGCUUGGACGCACCCGAU
rnacentral:lncRNA from 1 species